rnacentral:lncRNA from 1 species
CUGGCAUUUUGACAGCUUGUACAGGCAUGCACAGCUUUGUCUGUGUGAAAGUGAAACGUAAAGCUUGCAGUUCCACAUCUAUCAACCAUGGGCCAGAGAGAAUUACGGAAUUUUUUAUUCUGUCUGCAGCUACUCAGCAUCAGCUGGGCAGCAGGUCCUCCCCAGUUUGUACGUGUUCUGCCUGUUGAGAUCACAUCACUGUCAGCAGUUUACCAGUGUAUUGCUGAAGCUGAUCCCAGCCCCACAAAGUACACAUGGACAAGAGAAAACCAGCUGGUCCUCAAGGGGGCAUUGAGAGCAGAAGAAGAUAAACUGUAUUUCUUGAAGCUUACGGCUGAUUUGAAUGGCCUCUACUUUUGUGAGGUUGAAAAUGCACACGGAACUGCUAAGGGCUCCAUAUAUGUGCACUAUGAAUCACCCGGUGAGUCAUUUGAUACCUACUAUAUUUAUCUGGCCGCAUCAAUCUUGGUUGCUGUGGGCUUUUUCAGCUUCAUCAUUCUUUGGAAAAGGUAAUGACACUUAUACUAAAAACGCUAUGUUCAUAUAUAUACAGUGGGUACAGAAAGUAUUCAGACUUCCUUAAAUUUUACUCUGUUACAUAAUGAUGAAGCUGAAAAAGAUUUGGGGAUCCUCUGCCACUGGACAGGUGAUUGGACAGUAUAGUGCCUGGUUUUGCCUCUCCUCUGAGGAGAGGCUUCCGUUGGGCCGCUCUGCCAUAAAGCCCCGACUGGUGAAAGGCUGCAGUGAUGAACUUUCUACAACUUUCUCCCAUCUCCAGACUGCAUCUCUGGAGCUCAGCCAAAGUGAUCUUUGGGUUUUUCUUCACCUCUCUAACCAAGACUCUUCUGAAAGUGAAAUUAUUGUCAUUGUGAAACACUGCAGCACAGAGCACAGUGUGCACAAUGAAAUGUGUCCUCUGCUUUUAACCCAUCACCCUUUGUGAGCAGAGGGCAGCCAUGACAGUUGCCCGGGGGCAGUGUGUGGGGAUGCUGCUUUGCUCAGUGGCACCUCAGUGGCACCUUGGAUCCGAACCGGCAACCUUCUGAUUAUGGGGGCGCUUCCUUAAUCGCUAGGCCACCACUGCCUACUUCAAUAGCUCCGCUUGGCCGGACAGCCAGCUCAAGGAAGGGCUCUGGUUGUCUCAAAUGUCAUUCAUUUAAGGAUUAUGGAGGUCACUGUGCUCUUAGGAACCUCAAGUGCAGCAGAAUGUUUUUGGUAACUAUGGCCAGAUCUGUGCCUUGCCACAAUUCUGUCACUGAGCUCUUCAGGAAGUUCCUUUGACCUCACGAUUCUCAUUUGCAGUGACAUGCAUUGUGAGCUGUAAGGUCUUAUAUAGACAGGGGUGUGGCUUUCAUAAUCAAGUCUAGUCAGUAUAAUCAAACACAGUUGGACUCAAAUGAAGGUGUAGAACCAUCAGAUGAAAUGGACAGCACCCAAGUUAAAUAUAUGAGUGUCACAGCAAAGGGUCUGAAUACUUAGGUUCAUGUGAUAUUUCAGUUUUCUUUGUUAAUAAAUUUGCAAAAAUGUCAACA